CUGCGGCCGAUCCACCACAGCAGCGCAGCGCCCAUCAGAACCGGAACGAUAAUGUCGAGGGGAGUGCUCAUUCGCGGCUUUCCACGACGCGCGGCGCUCAGGCUUUCCGGCCCAUCCAUUUCCGCUCGAUCCAGCCGAGCGCGUUGGCGAGCGGCAGUUGAAGAAACGGCACAUCCUGGGCGAUCAGCAACAGGCCAAGCGGCAGCAUCCAGAGACCCAGAAUGGGAAGGAAGCUGAAGAUGCCGCCGACGAC
rnacentral:misc_RNA from 1 species